rnacentral:rRNA from 1 species
GAGAAAUACUGGCAAGGGGCACGGGUAAAGGGUGGGGGGCGGUAGGUAAGAGGAAUGACUGGGGGUAAGGCGUGCGCAGGGGGUUUUGGAAGACAGGGUGAAAAUCCCCGGGCUUAACCUGGGAACGGCGUUUGUGACGGAAAGACUAGAGUACGGCAGAGGGGGGUGGAAUUCAACGUGUAGCAGUGAAAUGCGUAGAGAUGUGGAGGAACACCAAUGGCGAAGGCAGCCCCCUGGGUCGAUACUGACGCUCAUGCACGAAAGCGUGGGUAGCAAACAGGAUUAGAUACCCGAGUAGUC